CUAUAAGAUAUUUUGAGCUAGCGUUUCUUAAAAUCAGCCUGAAAACCACAAGUUAGCCACUAACCAUAUAAUCCCGGGCUGAAUUUUUGAGUGUGGUUUCCUCAAAGAACAACGUCUAGUUAACGGAUGUUAACGACAAACCGAGGUAAAGAGUUUUUGUGGUAAUUCUUUAUCUGGGAAUUCUCCUUUACAACGGUAAUGAGUCUAACUAAACCAGAAUAAUUUGUCAUCAUAAAUCAGCUUACGGUGGCUAAGUGGGUAAGAAGCUGGCUCGUUAGCCUUGGGGUGGCGUGAUCGAUCCCUGCAUUGGCCGUGAAAGGUCAUCGGGAUUUUCCGACGUGGUUUUUCCCUUGUCAGUGGUGCAGGACGGAGCGCCUGACAAGGACAGCUUUCUAGCCGUUCGUAUGGUCCCGUGUAUACAUUGACAUGCACGUAAAAGAUCCCUUUGCAGUUGGAAUUCGAUAUAAAAGUAGGUCAUAGUGCCGCUGCCCUUGCAAAAUUUCACUCUUGGUACACUGUACGGAGUAUGUCUAAGUCGGGACAGAACAGUGGGGUGUUUUAUAAACCCCAUUUCAUUUCAUGAUAUGCAUAUUAAUUUAGAAAUUCUAACUCGUACUUCUAUUCUUCUUAAAUAAUGACCAUUGCUUAUCUCUCAAGAUGUCGCUUACUGUAAAGUACGGAAACCUGUUGCGGUCUGAUUGCAAUCUUAAUUUCUCGGUCCUAAACCCUUAUCUUCUCGCCCCGCAACUUUGAGAUUAUAAAAUGGCCACAACAGGCUUCCAUAGUAUCACUAUACAUUUAAAGACACGUUAUGGAAGAUUUUAAUAGAGAGUUUGCCAUUCUUGCUAUAACAGUUAAAAAAUAGAUGAUGAAAGAAGAAUAUAUUCAGAAUUUCAGUCAAAUUACUUUAUUCUGAACAAAGUUAUCACCAUUGUAAUUUUUGACUAAAAAUAGGAGUCAACCCUCUCUUCACCGUCUCCGAGAAUGGUCGAUCGUUUGAUUGACAGGCGAAAACUCCACCUACAUAAUCUCGAUUAUCAAGUAACGUUUUCAAUGGCUGUGGUACCGUUAGCAUAUUCGGUUUGAGACGGGGUUGCAAUUCAAUUCGUAUCGCAUUUAUUUUUACUACAAAUUAAAAAUAAGACUUUUAAUGUAUAGAUAAGAAGCGAAAGUUUGAAAGGAAUGGACCAAAUCAAUAAGGCAUAAUUAUAGCCGACUUUUUGUUAGCCCGCGUGUACUCUUGUACUGUAACUGGUAGGCCUACGUAACUCCCGAUACGUAACUCCCGAAGCAGACAGAUAGGAAACAUGAUCCAAUGGGGCUACAAUUCAACUGGGGUGAUGUUACACUGUAAGCCUUUUCUGUAAUUUUUACAGACUUGUUUCUGUAAAACGCCUACAGCGCAGGUCUGUUAUCCUGAUAACAGACACGAGUCUGUUAAUAUUUGAGAAAUACAGAAUUUCGUCCGUAAAUAUGACAUACGGGUGUUUAAAUUAAAGUGACGUCAUCGAUCUUCCUGGGCGCCAUUACUGCGAAGACCGUUAGUUAGCGGCAAAGAGGAAUCCCUCAACAUCGAGCACAAUAGUUGAACACUACAGUCAAUACCAAACAUUGCAGUUUGAGGCACAGCUUAUUGCAUCCUUGAGUGCCAUUCCUGUCAUCUAUAGAGUGGGCUACCCAGCCUUUCUCUGGGUGCAUUUUUGAAAUUAACCCAGAUAACGCACAGAAAUCAUGAAAAAGAGGAAGACUCGAGUAUGCCAAAAAGUGAUAUAACUAAUCACUAAACUGUCAAACUUUAAAUGAAUCAAGUACAGUUACAACAAUAGCAACAAUAUACCGGUACUGUGAGAAGGUAAACGACGGUAUAGAUGCCACAUUUUGGUUCAAAGUGCUUUAAGACCACGGUUUGGUUAACAUGGUACAGAUAUUUUAACUGUCCAUUUUCAUCCGAUGCAGAAUACUCCCCUGUAGUUCAUGUGACAAGAAGGAGAAAAGAUGGCUUUCGGCAAUGAAACAUGUGUCCCGCUGAAAGUACAUAGCCCUCCGGCGAACCACAAAUCACGGAUAUAGGAACAUUUUGAAUCAAAAACGUCAGAUGGAAAAGCAGUGGCUAGAGAGCUGGAAACACGUCCAAGAAGAAAUACUGUGAUAUGUAUCGUUGCAACCUAUGAUGCAAUAAUGUUCAUGCAUGCAAACUUUAGGGAUAGGCCUAUUGAGUUUAUGGUUAGUUUUUAUACACCAGCACAUAGUGUGUAUAAAAUAGGUGAUAAGGGACCGAGCCACAACCCUUUUAUGAGUGAUACUUUGUAAAUGAGACUUUAAACGCACUGCAAGAAAUCUUUUUAAUGAAUCUUCUUAAUUAAACUUGAUCUUCUUAUUGUACUUUUGAUAAGAUGUCCGUUUACUUUAAUGGAAAAAUCUUUUGGUCAUUUAAUUUGUCCAUCAACAAUUUGGUACAUUUGUAAAAUUAUCCUCAGUUCAUUUUGUCUCUAAAUAUGCGGCCGUGUUGCAUAAACAUU